UUCGAGCGUCAUUAUAACCACUCAAGCCUCGGCUUGGUAUUGGGGUUCGCGGUCUCGCGGCUCUUAAAAUCAGUGGCGGUGCCGUCUGGCUCUAAGCGUAGUAAUUUCUCUCGCUAUAGGGUCCAGGUGGUUACUUGACCCAAAACCCCAUAUUUUUUAAGGUUGACCUCGGAUCAGGUAGGGAUACCCGCUGAACUUAA
rnacentral:misc_RNA from 1 species